rnacentral:lncRNA from 1 species
AUCAUAAUUAGACAUGCCCAUAAGGCAGCCGCAACUCAUAGCGUUGUCACAGCUCGGGGACCCCUUUAUUAGUACUGUGUCAUCAGAGGGUUAGGCUGCAAGCAGAUAACCUAUCUAAUGCAGCAGUACCGUGGGGAAUUAAGCCAUGAUCCCAUUUUGGGGUGAUUAGUUUCUCAGCUGAUGCUAAUGCAGUGUUCUGUGUUGCUGCCCUGAAGACUGAAGUUGGCUUUUUUUAACUCCCAGCAGAGGUAUGGUUUCCACAUCAACAAAAGCAAAGCUGCUCAGGAGGAACCACUGCUGUUCUCUGUAACCACAGCACCGUCUCCGUAAAGUACUGGUGCUCAAUCUCCAUGAACAGUUUUGUCAGUGGACUUGAAAGAGACUGCAAAGUAAGAGAAAGCAGCAGAGCUGGGAACAGCAAACAGACGCCCUGAGUCAGCCCCAGGAACUCCAGACAGACACACCAAUAUCAGCACACUGAAACAGUUCAGUCCUUGAGAGUUCCUCCAGCUUCCUCUGGCGUUCCUGCUGCCUGAGAUGUUCUGCUGUGUUGGGAGACCCCCUCCAUCCUCUCCCUGGUGAGGAAGAGGACGCAACUGUGCCCUGGAAGACCAGCUGGGUGGAGAGCGAAGGCAGGACUGGCUCUGGGAGUGGGCUCCUGAUGAUGAGGUUGAGAUUAAAUGUGGAUGAACAUCACUCCCCCCCUGCUGAUGGAGAAACACAGUUUCCUUGCCUCUCUCUGCCUGCCCUUCAACACCAAAUGGGUGAGUUUUUUUUUUUUCAAUCCUUGUACCCAUAUUUCUUUCCAACUGCUGGGUCGGGGUUGCCAUAUCA